rnacentral:lncRNA from 1 species
AAGAUAGACAACUUAAAGCUGUGAACUGUCAAGUUUUCUGGAGAAGAAGGUAUGUAAUAUUUAGGCAAACUCCACUUACAUGCAACCAUGGGUUUGAGAACACUGAGGAUAGGAUGUGAGUGGUUGACAAAUAUGUAACAUAUUUCAUUUCUCCCCUUUUUUUCUACAAUACCUGCUCUGUAGCUCUCAAAGGAGGCAAAUGAUAUACUAACAAAAAGUGUCACACAUACACACACAUCUGCUACCCCCCCUCUAGCUUUCUAGUCCUAGAAAUCUAGGGUACUUACCUGUUUCUCCACAUCUACCUUAACUGAUUUUUGCCUCCUAGAGUGGCAGUACAUACUGCUCAAGAACCAAGGCUCUACUAUUUAUAACAGUCAAGACAUGGGAACGACCUAAAUGUCCACUGAUUGAUAGAUGAAUAGAUGAAUAAAGAUGUCGUUUACAUAUGUACAAUGAGAUAUUACUCAGCCAUACAAAAGAAUGAAAUAAUACCAUUUGCAGCAACAUCGAUGGACCUAGAGAUCAUACUAAAGUCAGAGUAAGACAAAUACCAUAUGAUAUCACUUAUAAGUGGAAUCGAAAAUAUGACACAAAUGAAUUUAUAAAACAGACUUGUGGUUGCCAAGGGGGAGAGGAGAUGAGGAGGGAUGGAGUGGGCGUUUGGAAUUAGCAGAGGCAGACUAUUUCAUACAGAAUGGCUAAACAACAAGCAUAGAGAACUGUAUUCAGUAUCCUGUGAUUAACCAAAAUGGAAAAAAAAAAUACAUGUAUACCUGAAACACUUUGCUGUACAGCAGAAAUUAACACAACAUUGUAAAUCAACUAUACCAAAAAAAAAAGAACCAAGGUUCAGAAAUCAAGAUACAUCUGGCCUGCAUCCCAUCUUCACGAUGGAAAUGACAAUAUUUCUCCCUAGGGUGUUAGGAGGCAGUUCAGUAUUACCUAUCUUCAAGACUAAGGAACUCAAUUGUUGGUUUUCCAGUCACUACUGGAUUUACAUUGAAUCUGAGAUUUAAUUCUAUGAGCAGCAAAAAACAAGAUUUCCUAAAAAUCAGCUCCUCCAGGACAGAUCUUGUCUUACCUUUUACCUAAAAUUUUAAAUAUAGGAGAAUCAAAAAUGGUAGAAGUUAGAGUUCCCACUGUGGCACAAGGUGAGGGUGUCUCUGCAGCAGCAGGGACACUGGUUCCAUCCCCAGCACAGUGGGAUUAGGAUCUGGCAUUGCUGCAGCCAUUGCAACACCAUAUCUCUGAUCAUAGCUCUGGCUCAGAUUGUAUCCCUGGCCUAGAACUCCAUAUAUGCCACAAGGUUCCCCCCACCACCCUCUGAAUGGUAGACGUUAAGGAUAUAAAAAUUCUGCAGGUAGACUGCCCGGAUUUAAAUCAGGAUUUCAAUACUUCCUAGUUUUUGUCUAGACCAAUUACUCAAAAUCUUUUCCCUCAAAAUCUUUUGCCUCAAAAUUUUCUGCUGUGAAAUGUGGGAUUCAAAUAACAUGUACCUAGGGAGAUCCAAUUGUGGUUCAGCAAGUUAAGGAUCCAACAUUGUGAGGAUGCAGGUUCAAUCUCUGGCCUCACUCAGUGGGUUAAGGAUCCAGCAUUGCUGUAAGCUGCAGCACAGGUUGCAGAUACAGCUCAGAUCCAGUGUUGCUGUGGCUAUGGCAUAGUUCCCAACUGCAUCUCUGAUUCAUCUCCUAGCCUGGAAACUUCCAUAUGCUGCAGGUGCAGCCAUAAAAAGAAAAAAAAAAGUACCUCUUAUGGUUAUGAUAAUAGAAAUAAAACAACAGUGUCUAAAUGGCACAUUACUAAGCUUAUUAUUUUAUAGCAGGUGUUAAAUGUUCAUAGUAUUACUUGGUACUUUAAAAAGCCUAGGCUGUGACAUCAGUUGAUUUCCACACGUUACUAUCAAGGCUAGUGUCACAAUUUGACUAAAAACUGUUCCAUGCUACAACAAAUAACCCUAAAAUUUAUGUGGAAACGUAGAAGACCCAGAAUUGCCAAAGCAAUUCUGAGGAAAAAUAACAAAGCAGGAAGCAUAACUCUCCCAGACUUCAGACAAUACCACAAAGCUACAGUAAUCAAAACAGCAUGAUGUUGGCACAAAAACAGAUAUACAGAUCAACAGGACAGAAGGAGAGAGCCCAAAAAUAAACCUACACACCUAUGGACAAUUAUUCUUCAACAAAGGAGACAGGUACAUACAAUAGAGAAAAGACAGUCUCUUCAGCCAGUGGUGUUGGGAAAGUUGCAUGGUUGGUGUAAAUCAAUCAAGGGAGAAUACACCCUCACACCAUACACAAAAACUCAAAAUGAUUUAUUAAAGACACAUUCAAGGGGGAUUAAGAUGGCAGAGUAGAACAACUGGAGCUCACCUCUCAUAAAAGCAACAAAAUUACAACCAACUGCUGAACAACCUUCAAUAAAAUAGACUGCAAAGUAUCAAAAAAGAUAUUCUACUCCAGAAGACGGAGAGGAGGCCACUCUGAGACAAUAGGAGGGGCAAUGAUGCAAUAUAAGCAACCCCAUACCCACCAGGUGGAUAGCCCACGGGCUGGAAAGUAACUACAUCUCAGAGGCUCACCCAAGGAAGUGAGAGUUCGGAGCCCCACAUCAGGUCCCCACACCUGGGAACCUGGUGUUGGGAAGAGGAGCCCCUGGAGCAUUUGCUGCUGAGGGCCAGUGGGGCUGGUGUGCAGGAGCUCCACAGGACGGGGGUGGGGGUGGGGGUGGAGACUCCACUCUUGAAAGGCACACGCAGGCUUUCUGUGCACUGGGUCCCAGAGCAAAACGGAGGCUCCAUAGGAAUCUGGGUCAGACCUGUCUGUGGUUCUUGGAAGAUCCCCUGGGAAAACAGGGGGACUGUGGCUCACCGGGGAAGGACACUGGAGGCAAAGGUCUCUGGAAUAGUCAUCAGUGCAAGCUGGCCCCACCCAUCAGCAAAGAGGCUGCCUAAAGACGCCCUCAGGCACACAGCCACCUCUGAUCACACCCAGAAGCAAAGCCCCACCCACCAGAGGGAUAAGAACCAGCUGCACCUACCAAUAGGCAGGCACCAGUCCCUCCUAUGAGGAAGCCUGCAGCAAGCCUCCAGCCACAAAGGGGGCAGACAUCAGAAGCAAGAGAUACUACAAUCCUAUUAUCUGUAAAAAGGAGACCACACCAACAAUCUAUACAAAAUGAAAAGGCAGAGAAUUAUGACUGGAUAAGGAAACAUGGAAAAACCCCAGAAAAACAGCUAAGUGACCUGGAGAUUACCAACCUCCAUGAAAAAGACUUGAGACCAAUAAUAGUAAAGAUGAUUCAAGAUCCUGGAACUGGAGACAAAUACUGAUAAAUUACAAGAAACACUGAGCAAAGAGAUAGAAGAUUUAAGGAUUAAGCAAGCAGAGAUGCAAAAUACAGUAACUGAAAUUAAAAAGUCACUAGAAGCAACCAAAAACAGAAUAUAGGAGGCAGAGGAAGGAAUAAGCAAGGUGGAAGAAAGACUAGUGUAAAUCACUGAUGUGGAACAGAAAAAAGACUGAAAAGAAAUGAAGACAGUCUAAGAGAAUUCUGGGAAAAUGUUAAAUGCACCAAUAUCUGUAUUAUAGAGGUGCCAGAAGGGGAGGAGAGAAAAAUGGGCCAGAGAAAAUAUUUGAAAAGAUAAUAGCUGAAAACAUCCCUAACAUGGUAGAGGAAUCACUCACCCAAAUCCAGGAAGCACAACGAGUACCACAUAAAAUAAACCCAAUGAGGACCACCCUGAGACAUAUUAAUCAAACUGACCAAAAUUAAAGAGAAAAUACAGAAAGCAGCUAGGGAAAAGAAGUAACAUACAAGGGACCCCCGAUAAAGUUAUCAGCAGAAACACUGCAGGCCAGAAGGGAGUGGCAUGAUAUACUUCAAGUGAUGAAAGGGAAAAAACCUCCAACCAAGAUUACUCUAUCCAGCAAGGCUCUUAUUCAGAUGUGAAGGAGAAAUCAAGAGCUUUAUAGACAAGCAAAAACUAAGAAAAACCAGCUUUACAAUAAAUACCAACGGAAUUUCUACAGGUAGAAAAGAAAAGGCCACAACUAAAAGCAAAAAUAUUACACAUAACAAGGGUCACCAGUAAAGGCAUACAUAUAAUACAAUAAAGUCAGGAAAUCGUCCACAUACAAAUAUGAUACCCAAACCAGAAACCGUAAAAGGAGGGUACAAAUGCAGGACACUGGAGAUGCACUUGCAAUUAGGAGACCAAUAGACUCCUAUAUCAAAACUCCUACAUCAAAACAAAAAUCUACAGUAGAUAAUAUGCAAAUAAGAAAAGGCAAUCCAAACACAACACUAAAGAUAGUCAUCAAACCCCGAGAGAGGAGAACCAGAAGGGAAUAAAAAAGACCAACAAAAACAAAUCCAAAAUAGUUAAUAAAAUGGCAAUAAGAACAUAUAAUUACCUUAAAUGUAAAUGCACUAAAUGCCCCAACCAAAAGACGUAGAUUGGCUAAUUGGAUACAAAAACAAGACCCAUAUAUACGUUGUCUUCAAGAGACCCAUUUCAGUUCUAGGAACACAUACAAAUUCAAAGUGAGAGGAUGGAAGAAAAUAUUCCAUGCAAACGGAAAUCAAAAGAGAGCUGGAGUAGUGAUACUCAUAUCAGACAAAACAGACCUUAAAAUAAAGAAUAUUAUAAGAGACAAAGAAGAGCAUUACAUAAUGAUCAAAUGAUCAAUCCAAGAAGAUAUAACAAUUGUAAAUAUAUAUGCACCCAACACAGGAUCACUUUAAUAUAUAGGACAACUGCUAACAAGCUUAAAAGGAAAAAUUUGACAGUAACAAAACAGCACUGGACUUUAACACUCCACUUACAGCAGUGGACAGAUCAUCCAGAGAGAAAAUCAAGAAAACAUAUGCCCUAAAUGAAGCACAGACCAGAUGGACUUAAUAGAUAUUUAUAGAACAUUCCAUCCCAAAGCAGCAGACUAUGCAUUCUUCUCAAGGGCACAUAGAACAUUCUCUAGGAAAGAUCCCAUUUGGGCCACAAAUCAAGCCUCAGUAAAUUUAAGAAAACUGAAAUCAUAUCAAGCACCUUUUAUGACAACCCUACAACUGGAAAUCAACAAGAAAAAACCUGCAAAGAAAUCACAAACACAUGGAGACUAAACAAUCUAUUAGUAAACAACCAAUGGAUAUCACUGAAGAAAUCAAAGAUGAAAUUAAAUGAAACAAAUGACAACAAAGACACAACAAUCCAAAACCUAUGGAAUGUGGCAAAAGCAGUUCUAAGAAGGAAGUUUGUAGCCAUACAUGUCUACCUCAGGAAACAAUAAAAAUAACAAAUAAACAACGUAACUUUACACGUUGCUCUAAUCUCUAGAGCAAGUAGAGAUUAGAACUGACAAAACCCAAAGUCAGCAGAACGAAAGAAAUCAUAAAGAUCAGAGCAGAAAUAAAUGAAAUAGAAACAAAGAAAACCAUAGAAAAGAUCAAUAAAACAAAAAGCUGGUU